rnacentral:rRNA from 1 species
CCUACGGGGGGCAGCAGUGAGGAAUAUUGGUCAAUGGACGCGAGUCUGAACCAGCCAAGUAGCGUGAAGGAUGACUGCCCUAUGGGUUGUAAACUUCUUUUAUAUGGGAAUAAAACAGGGUAUGUAUACCUUUUUGUAUGUACCAUAUGAAUAAGGAUCGGCUAACUCCGUGCCAGCAGCCGCGGUAAUACGGAGGAUCCGAGCGUUAUCCGGAUUUAUUGGGUUUAAAGGGAGCGUAGGUGGGUUGUUAAGUCAGUUGUGAAAGUUUGCGGCUCAACCGUAAAAUUGCAGUUGAUACUGGCAGUCUUGAGUACAGUAGAGGUAGGCGGAAUUCGUGGUGUAGCGGUGAAAUGCUUAGAUAUCACGAAGAACUCCGAUUGCGAAGGCAGCUCACUGGACUGCAACUGACACUGAUGCUCGAAAGUGUGGGUAUCAAACAGGAUUAGAUACCCGAGUAGUC